AAAUAUGUGCAGUGGCAGUAUCGUAGCCAAUGAGGUUUAUCUGAGAUGCGAUUAUUGCUACUUGAAAAAUUUCCCAAUACUAUGAAUCAAUUAAAUAUUAAUUCCCUUUCAUUAAGAACUAGGGUGCUGGAAAAAGGG